GCCUGUAAGACUGGGAUAACUUCGGGAAACCGGAGCUAAUACCGGAUAAUCCUUUUCUACUCAUGUAGAAAAGCUGAAAGAUGGCUUCGGCUAUCACUUACAGAUGGGCCCGCGGCGCAUUAGCUAGUUGGUGAGGUAACGGCUCACCAAGGCGACGAUGCGUAGCCGACCUGAGAGGGUGAUCGGCCACACUGGGACUGAGACACGGCCCAGACUCCUACGGGAGGCAGCAGUAGGGAAUCUUCCGCAAUGGACGAAAGUCUGACGGAGCAACGCCGCGUGAGUGAUGAAGGUUUUCGGAUCGUAAAACUCUGUUGUUAGGGAAGAACAAGUACCGUUCG
rnacentral:rRNA from 1 species